rnacentral:lncRNA from 1 species
UUUACAAGUAAUGCAAGUAUGCGAAUAAGCUCUCACUUCAUUUCAAAACUAACCAAAGUUACAAGAAAAGGAGGAAUAACAUGAAUACAUAUGACUGUCAAGGGAGUCAAGAAGUGAUCUGUUAAUUAAAAUAUUAAUCAACCUAUUUUCUACAAAUCAAAAAAUAAAAGAACACUAAUGACCAUUCAUCUAGUGCAAAUGAAAACACCAGCUUUCAUCAUUCCUAAUGAAUGGUAAAAUAUAAAUAUAAAAGAAGAUAGAAAGAAGGGAAAAAAAACUACAUAAUAGAACUCCAUAUAUACCAACAUUAUAUCAAGUAUCAACACAUGAUAUAACAUCAUAUAUAGUACAUUAAUUCCACCAUUGCAGUUUUCUCUAAUCUUCCCCAAAAUAACCUAUUGAUUUAUCUACCCAACCCACCCCCAAUUUCCAAUACAGGCUUACAGUAUCAACAUAAUUACAUAUGGAUCCUGAUCUGAAACCUGUAUUUGAAACAAAAAAACUCAAAAUAAAAAAUAAAAAAACUAUCUUUUCCCAUCUCUGAUAUUCUCGCGCACCCUAUACGGAUUAUAAAAUCCGGAAAAAAUGGAGAGUUUUAAAGGGUGUUUUACACUUUUCGAAUUAUAUUAUCCGAAAUUUGAAGGAUGCGCGAAAAAUCAGUAAGAUGGAAAACGAAAACAUAGAAGAGAGCUUCUUUCAUUUCUUCACAGUUUCUCUGCGAUCUGAGCCAAUGACUGCAAAUUACACCGAACAAUGGUAUCAGCAAAACUACAUGUUUCUUCCUUAGUGUUACCCUGUGGUACAUCAACAACAUAUGAUUCAAUGACAACUGUUCCUCCGUUACCAUCACCGUGCAACGUUGUCACUGACCGGUAAUUCCUACACCUAUGAACACCACCAACAACACUGAAACUAAUAACAUGGCGUUCUUCAUCAAGAAUAUCCAACCUCUCGGUGCUUGAAACAGCAGGUAGACCGGAAACAAGUCGAACUUCACGAAGAGCACCAACACGAAUGCCGUCACCGGAGGCAACUACGUUGCAGCUUUUAACAAAGUGUUUGUAGCCUUGAGGAUAAUCAAAGCGGCGGACGACUGACCAGACGGUUGAAACGGAGGCGUUGAUUGUUUGGAUCACGACGGAGUAGCAUUGGUUUUGUCCCACCACGUGCAUGUGGUGGUCUACAACCGUUUCUGGAACAGAAACGGUUGGUUUUAAAGAAGAAAGCGCGUAACGACACGCUUGAAUUUGUUUCGGACAGUUAACACCGUUAGUAAUAGCAGUGUUAGAGUCGAACCGUUGGAAUUGAACUGGUGAAGGCAUUUCUAUUUUGCGAAUGCACGAGUAUUUUAUUAGUAAUGAAAAUAAAGAAGAAGAAGAUUAGUUAUGUGAAGUUAAAAUGUUAGAUUAGAUAUAUAUGUGGAGGGUGAGAGAGGGUUUGAGAGGCUAUUAUUUUUGUAACACAAGUUGGUGGUAUUUAAGACUAAAUAAGAGUUCUCUUUCUUUUUCUCUUCUUUUGUUGUUCAAAGAGACAAAGAAAAUAAAAGUGAAUCAUAGUUGCUAUUGAAUUAAUUGAAGCAAUGACAUUACGCGGUGGUUACAUGCAAGUGGAUCAACUUGUUGUUUGUAAGAAUGCAAGUUGCAUAACAUCUUUAGACUUGG